rnacentral:snoRNA from 1 species
UGAUGGCAAUGAUGAUUUUUACACUAUUGUUCACCUGAUAACAAUAUGAAGGUGUUCAGUCACUACCUCAUCUGAUGCCAUCU